AUCUCUCGGUUCCCUUUCUUACUGGACCUGAACCUGGGUCCUGGUGAUUGUGAGGGGAGGACUAGUUAUACUGGAGUAUAAGUAUAUAACUAGUUAUACCAGUUACACUCAUGG
ensembl:snoRNA